rnacentral:rRNA from 1 species
AUUGAACGCUGGCGGCAUGCCUUACACAUGCAAGUCGAACGGUAACGGGCCUUCGGGCGCCGACGAGUGGCGAACGGGUGAGUAAUACAUCGGAACGUGCCCGAUCGUGGGGGAUAACGAGGCGAAAGCUUUGCUAAUACCGCAUACGAUCUACGGAUGAAAGCAGGGGACCGCAAGGCCUUGCGCGGACGGAGCGGCCGAUGGCAGAUUAGGUAGUUGGUGGGAUAAAAGCUUACCAAGCCGACGAUCUGUAGCUGGUCUGAGAGGAUGAUCAGCCACACUGGGAGUGAGACACGGCCCAGACUCCUACGGGAGGCAGCAGUGGGGAAUUUUGGACAAUGGGCGCAAGCCUGAUCCAGCCAUGCCGCGUGCAGGAUGAAGGCCUUCGGGUUGUAAACUGCUUUUGUACGGAACGAAAAGCCUUCUUUUAAUACAGGAGGGUCAUGACGGUACCGUAAGAAUAAGCACCGGCUAACUACGUG